AUGAAGAGACACUGGGGAGCCCUGCUGGGGCUUCUGUGGGUCCAGGUUUGCUGGGUGAGAGGUGUGAAGGUGGAGCAGAGCCCUUCAGCCCUGAGCCUCCAGGAGGGAACCAACUGUACUCUGAGGUGCAAUUUUUCUACCACAGUGGACAGUGUGCAGUGGUUCCGACAGAAUCCUGGGGGCAGCCUCAUCAGUCUGUUUUUCAUAGCUUCUGGGAUGCAGCAGACUGGAAGGUUAAGCUCCACAGUGAAUUCUAAGGAACGGUAUAGUUCCCUACACAUCACAGCCUCCCAACUGGAAGACUCAGCCACCUACCUCUGUGCAGCGAAGGCACAGUGCUGCCAGGUGAUCUGCAGCCUGUACGCAAACGGCAGCUGGGCUGCAGCCACAGUGUCUGCCAUGGGGAAGACUUGUACAGCAGCACUUGCACAGCCUUAG